rnacentral:lncRNA from 1 species
CACGGUAUAUCUUUUCGAGAUUCACAGCAUCCAGCUGAGAUUUGUCAAUGAUUUUUAUUGCCACCUCGCUGCGCGUGAUGCGGUGCCGCGCCAGCUUGACCACGGCGAAGUUGCCCUUGCCCAGCGUGCCCUCAAUAUCGUAGAAGCCGACGCGGACGGGCCCGGGCCCGCGGGGCAGCAGCGGGGGGGGCCGCCGGGGCUCGGCCAUUACCAUGCUGGGCGCAGGGGGCGGCAGCGGCUCAGGCGGC